rnacentral:tRNA from 1 species
GGGCCCCUAGCUCAACUGGCAGAGCAGCGGGCUUUUAACCCGCGGGUUGUGGGUUCGAGUCCCACGGGGCCCA